AUACUUGCCUGGAUGGGGUCUAUGGUUGAUCGAGAAGACUCAUGGCCUAGGUAGAUGGCUUUCAUUGUACUAAGAAGGUGCAUCUGCCUAAGGUCUCCUCAAGUGGAAGAGCAUAAUUUGUGGUAGUGGGGGCCUGCGUUCGCGGGGCCCCUGU